rnacentral:lncRNA from 1 species
AAGGAAUUUGGUAUGCAAAGAACAGCAAUUACAAUGCAAGUCCUGUAACUGAGGUAUGCAGAGACAGACUCCUGGAAAGGCAGGAGGGACUGUAGGCAGAAAAGGACGUCGAGGUGUCAGGAGCUGAAGGGCAGUGUGAAUGUCAUUUUGAAUAGCAAAUGGCGUAGUAGUGAGGUAAUGCAAAUUAAACGACCAACACGAGCCACUUCAUAUAUUAUUCUUGUUUUAACAAAGGAAGGACUAACAGGCAUUUGAAAAUCUCUAAUGGAGGUAGUCAUAAGAUUGAACCAACUUUUUUUUUAUCUUACUGGUCAUUUCUGUUGUCGAAGAAAAACAGAUCCCUGACCCUACAACUAAAUUGGAAUGGGAAUAGCUUUAGCAUUUUAAGUCGCAUUGACAGAGGACUUUUCCCUGUAAGAUAUAGAAAUGUGGCUUAAACAAACUAAGCAAACGUUACAAGUUUCAAGUUUAUGUAAGAGAAAACAGGGUGAUAGAAAAGUCUUCUUGGAAACACCACAAUUCUUCUAUCAUGCAACACAGUGAGAUCACAGCCUCCGAAAGAGAUAAACUAAUCGAUUUUGGCCAGGCUUGGUGAUCUGCGCCUAUAAUCCCAGCACUUUGGGAGGCCAAGAGUUCAAGGCUAGCUUGGGCAACGUAGCAAGAUGUUUCUAUAAAAAAAAAAAAAUUAAAAAAUUAAUCAGGCAUGGUAGUGCUCGCCUCUAGUCCCAGCUACUCAAAAGGUUAAGGCAGGAAGAUUGCUUGAGCCUGGGAGUUCAAGCUCACUCUCUCUCUCUAGAUAGAUAUAAAACUUUAUCUGUAGAUAACAGUUAUCUAUCUACAUAGGAAGAUAGAUGAGAGAGAGAGAGAGAGAGAGAGAGAAACCAAUUAAAGUGAGUAUAGGCCAGGCGCGGUGGCUCAUGCCUGUAAUCCCAGCAUUUUGGGAGGCCGAGGCAGGCUAAUCACCUGAGGUCAGGAGUUCUGAGACCAGCCUGGCCAACAUGGCGCAACCCCAUCUCUAUUAAAAAUUCAAAAAUCAUGGCCAGUGGCUCACGCCUGUAAUCCCAGCACU